rnacentral:rRNA from 1 species
CGGGUGCGUAACGCGUAUAGAACCUACCUUUUACAGAGGGAUAGCCUUUAGAAAUGAAGAUUAAUGCCUCAUAGUAUUGUAGACUGGCAUCAGUUUAUAAUUAAAGAUUUAUCGGUAAAAGAUGGCUAUGCGUCCUAUUAGUUAGUUGGAAGGUAACGGCUUACCAAGACAGCGAUAGGUAGGGGUCCUGAGAGGGAGAUCCCCCCACUGUACUGAGACACGGACCAGACUCCUACGGGAGGCAGCAGUGAGGAAUAUUGGACAAUGGAGGAGACUCUGAUCCGCCAUGCCGCGUGUAGGAAGAUGCCCUAUGGGUUGAAACUACUUUUAUACAGGAAGAACACUGGUAUGUAUACCAGCUUG